rnacentral:rRNA from 1 species
CAGUAGCCGCGGUAAUACGAAGGGGGCUAGCGUUGCUCGGAAUUACUGGGCGUAAAGGGAGCGUAGGCGGACAUUUAAGUCAGGGGUGAAAUCCCAGAGCUCAACUCUGGAACUGCCUUUGAUACUGGGUGUCUUGAGUGUGAUAGAGGUAUGUGGAACUCCGAGUGUAGAGGUGAAAUUCGUAGAUAUUCGGAAGAACACCAGUGGCGAAGGCGACAUACUGGAUCAUUACUGACGCUGAGGCUCGAAAGCGUGGGGAGCAAACAGGAUUAGAGACCCCUGUAGUCCCUGUCUCUUAUAC